CUCUCUUCUCUCCCUCUUCUCUCCCUCGUCUCUCUCUCUUCUCUCCCUCGUCUCUCCCCUCCUCUCUCUUGUCUCUCUCUCUGUGUGUCCGACAGCUCUCAUAUAUAAAUCAGACAUGUUGUAAACGUGGAUGUAAAUCUCUGGUGUCUCUUUAUGAAGACAGACUGAAGUCCGGGCGAUAUUUCUUCAGUCUGAGAAGGAGUAUUCAGAUAAAGACGCGUGUUUACGUCCCCUCGAUCGUCCAGUCAGAAUACAACAGGCACAAAGUGGUUCCACCGGGCCGUGACGGUUCGGACCCGUCAGAAACAUCACAGAAUAAACUGUGUUGAGAAUAUUCAGUGAGUCUGUUUGUUCACACCGUCUGUCGGUUCUGAUGACAUGUAGACAGAAUAUAUAUGUGACUCUGUGAAUGGAGGAUUUAUUUGGACCGAACCAGAUGUGACAGUGAACCGACACUGUUCUGGUGGUUGUGACUCAGUUUGAGUCCAGAUUGAAUGAAGAGUGUUUGAACUUCGUCUUUAGAAACUUGAGUUCAGACGGUCGUAUUUUCUGUUUGUAAUGAAAGCAGGUGUAAAAUAUUUAGUUUCUUGACACUUUGUGAGUUUGUUCUGUUGACUCAGCAGUGAGUGUUCUGGCUGAUUUAACGUCUCCCAGCUGAAACUACAGGUCCGUCAGCACCUCCAUCAUCUCUGGAGGUUCUGAGUGGUGUCAGGAGACAGGACGGGCCGGGUCAGCUAGCUGGUUAGCAUGCUAACACCAACAACACAUAUGGUAGCUGAUAAAACAUGGCGGACGUGUUUCACCUCCUGCAUUGUUCUGCAGAUCAGCCCGAGCUGCGAGAGGAUCCUGUUACACGACGGUGUGACCUGCCAAGUAAAGUACAAUGAAGUACAGUAAAUCCUGCUGCCGGCCCGCGGCUUCGCUUUUUAGAGGAGGGAGGGAUCAGCGCUAAGCUGAGUGAAGGCAGGAGUCCCCGCCCUCAGGGGAGACAUCAAGAGCUUCAGAGCUAAAAUGUCCGUGUGAGGAUGAGGAUUAACCUGAACCCCUUCAUGACACGCAGGCCCGGUCCGGUCCGGUCCGUCAAAGAGCCCGUCGAAGCCCUCGUCAAGCCUGAGCAAACAAAACCAGAGAGCGACAGGAAGCGGAGCUGCAGACUUCAGUGACGUGUUCAGAGAACUUUUUCCUCGAUUUUCUCCCUCGAUGCAGCAAAUUCCUGUAAACUGGGUCAAGCUGUGUGUGUGUGUGUGUGUGUGUGUGUGUGUGUGUGUGUGUGUGUGUGUGUGUGUGUGUGAGAUCAGUGUGAUUAGUGUGUGAAGUUCUGAACUGUGGUACAAAUUCAAGGUACUUUUUACUUCCUUUUUAUUUGACAGAUUUUUACAUAAAGGUUUAUUAAUAUGAUGAUUUAUUUCAAAUGAAAGUUUCAUUAUGUAAUAUUUUAUUUACUUUACACGUAGCGACAUUCGCUAACGUUAGCUGAGAAGUGACUCCGCCAGCAGAAAGUAUCGAGCAGCUUCCAGAACAACACAGAAGUUGGACAGAGCUCCUUUAACACCACUGGAGGAUUUAAACAGACGGCGUCUGAACUGCACAGGUUCUUCAGCAUUCAGUCAAUCGUCACUUAUUCUGCACAGUUUGCAUUCAGACCCACUGAGGCAACACGUCUUCUUCAGCCGCCACCUCACAGGAACCUGAUCGGACGUCCUGCAUUCCUGCAAACAAAAAGGACGGAGGUGUCGGAACGAUGCAGGACGGAGAGAACAACAGCCAUCGUCACCACGGCCCAACGUAACUGAGUACAGUUACUCAAGUACAACGCUGCAGACAGCAGAUUUAGUUCAGUGUGCCGUCUCACAGCUGGAGUCAGUCUGUCUGCUAUCUUUGGACUCAAAGCCUUUCAACAUAUGCAGAGUUUUUCAUGGUGCCUCCAGUAACGAGCCAGGAGGACACCAGGCAGACGACAGCAGCACUUCGUCCUCAUUAACCGGCCUGUCUGUCACAUUCACCACCUGAUUGGACGAGGCAGGUGAGCGAGGGAUUCAUCCUGACGUGUGAUUGGCUGUCAUGUGACCCGUCAGUCGCUGUCAGCACUGACGGAUGCUGAACGAAGGCCGACGCUGAUGUUCACACGUGUUGCAGUGAAGAAGAGAGCGAGCUGGACAACACGAGUUCAGGUCUGCAUCCUUCAGAGGAGCAUCUGAAGUCUGUCCCAGUCUGAAGGCUCCUCC